ACAUACACACGCAUAUAAUAUACUUUGCACACGUAUACACCGCGGGUCAAAUUUUUCUAACGUUUUAUUAGAAACGUACUUGGGAAUAUUUCUAUCUACGGUCUCCUUAGGCUGAUCUUUCGUCAAUAUCUGCACUCACAACGUCGAUUAUUUUAUGGUUCGAAUUCAUUGAAAUGAUGUAUUUCGGUUUCACCGAAAACCUCAAUUGCAAUCAAGUCUUCAAUUAGUUGGGUGGCCAAAGUUGUCCAAGCGAACUUGGCCGCGAAGCGAUCCACGAUCAACCUGACCGGGUGUACAUCGAUUAUUCAUUUGAUAAUUUCCUUUGUUUGUGUUUUCUUUUGUUUCCAGGGAGGCGUUCCAAAAUGUACGUAACAUACUUUCGUUUAAUUAGUUUUUGAAAAAAUCAUCGUAAUUUUUUCAAAACACCAUCGCUACAGUCGCGAGGGGUCAAUGGCGCGAAUUCGGUCAAAAUCAAAUACGCGCAGAGAAUAGUUUUGAUUUAACCCAGAAACCUAGAGUAUAUCUAGGUUCUUCUAAGUAUACAGCUAUACGGACAGCCUCCCAGCGGCACCACUUACGAGAGUCGGUGAUCUGUUUCCAUUACAGAAAAUCUCCUUCCUCGGAUCAUUUACCAAGCAUGUUUCAUUGCAAGCUGUACGCGUUGCACUCGUCGCUCUAAAUUCUCUCGCCAUUGAAAUGUUCGAUUGGGACUCAAUGGCGGUGGAUCUGUGCUCUAAAAUGUCAUAAUUCCACAAUUAUGCAAAUGGCGGCUCACGGGUACGCUCAACAAUUUACUGUACCGAAUAGAUUUUGUUUCUCUUUCGACCGGCACCUCCGCACGACGGGGGUGGAGGGAGGGUGUAGCCCGGGGGGAGCGUUUCCCUCUUUCCCAGAUAACGAAGAUGGGGGAAGAAAAAAUCGGUCUUUUCGAAGAUUAAAAUCGCGUCGUUCGCGCUCUACACUUGCGCAUGUGGUGUGUGCGAUACACGCGUUUCUAAUGAAAUAACGUUAUUGUGUCUCGUGUGUUUUGAAGGUGAUACGGCCUGCGGUGCACGCAGAAUACACCUACUGCAAAGUGUAGCUUUCAUCGGUGAUGUAACUUCCGCCCCAUGACUAUAAGCGCAUGGGAAAAACUCUCACCUCAAACGUAUACGUACGUAUGUCUUACGUACAUGGAUUAUUCCGACGUAGGGUACGUACAUACUAUUGGUGGUAGUAUAUCGUGGAAAUCUGCAACUUCGAUCGAUCAUUCGUACCAGCUCUCGGAACUGCCCGAGGAAAGGGAAGCAUUAUUGUGCGAAAGGAGAGAAUUAGCGGCAAAACUAUAUGAACGUUUCAAAAAUCAACGGUUCUGCCACGUAGCGUACACCGUCUACUGUCUUUUCUUAAUGGAGUUUGGUGCGAAUAUGGCCGCCUCACGUUACGCAUGCUUCUCAUUAUAAGUACACGCUCGUGAUAAUCGAGUGCGUACAAGUAUGAUAAUAAUGAUAACAAUGACGACGAUAAUGAUGACGAAGAUUUUAACGAUGAUGAUGAUGAUCUGCAUUAUGCGUCAACGAAGUGCAGCAGCCCAUAGGAGGGUGGGGAAGUAAUAAAUAUUUGAGAAAGAGUGAAUAAAUAAAUAAAAUAAAUGAUCAGAACGAGGAGAGAGAAAUAUGGAUGGCGACCACAAACGCGUCACGAACCCGUCGGUAGAACUCUGUGUAAGUUGCAUACUCACGAUCGAGUGCAGAAAUUGUCGGCAAAAACUAUUAGACGAGAAAAAAAAAAAAAAGAAGAAGAAGAAGAAGAAAAUCCAUAAGAACAAGAAUAUUCAAAAUCAUUUGAAACAUUCCACUUGUUAUGGUAUAUUUUUUAUCCUUGAAAUUACCAACUCUAAUUAUACAUGCACGCGUCUGUAUAUCAGAUCAGCGAUGACGUGAGUUGAGUCGACGUUGAAAAAAAAAAAAAAAAAAAAACCACCAAAUGAAAAAAAAUCUAUCAUUCAUAGGCCUUGUAAUUAACCAGAUUGAUAAGUGUUACCUCGUUCCUGCACAUACGUAAUCGGUAAAAUUUAUUACAUUCGAUCUCAUGGAGGUAAUGCAUAUGAAGCCAAACAUGGUUGAAAUUGCGGUUCCAGCAAGAGUUAUAGAAUGUGAAAAAAAAAAAGAGAGAAAAAACACAAAAAAUACUGUUCGUCGAUCGAGAUCACCUCGUGCGAUCUUAUUGUGAACCACCUUGAUCAUUGACGAGCGAUCGGCACGGAGAAAAUUCCACAAGGUUUACUCGUUUUAUCGUAAGCGUUGGAUUCAAGGUCGCUUUAAGGAUGUCUGCAUUAUCGUUUCAUUCGGUUCACCGUUAACGAAGGUUAUUUUCCAAAUAAUUUCAGGUCCUUAUUCGCACGGCGGUAAAAAUUUUCUGAACGUAUCUAGUUAUAUAUUAUGCAUAAUAUAGAGAAAAAUUCAAAUUCACCCUUGACCAAUAGGUCGGACACGGUUGUAUAAUUAAACAGGUAGGUAUAUGCAUAAUUUUAACGAUCGAUGUUCCUAGUUUGCAAUUUUGCUAUUCAUAAACAAUAAAUAAUACAGAUAACGAUCGGGUUAUCGGAAUUCCGCAAACAAUUGUCAACAGCGUGUAUAUACGGUGCAACCUACGCAUAGUCUUUUUUGCUUGUUUUUUUUGUCAAUUUUCUUUCUCCUGGACUUCGCGCGGCCAUUGUUCUAUAAUUGAAGAAUCGGAGGUAUUUAUAGCCGCCUAUCGAACACGUAUAAAAUACCGACGAUGUUGCUUCGUCGUAUGUAACAAUAAUGGAUAAUGACAAUGAUUAUUGUUAUUGUUACGUUAAGUGACCCCAUUCUUUUACAAUGCGUCGGUCGUUUAAAGGCGUUACCUAUACCGAACCUAUACACCAUGCAAUAAUGCACGCUGCAACGUCGCGAUAAUCGUUAGAGAUUCACCAUUCACGAUUCGUUAUUCGAAAUAAUUCGACGCCCCGUGCGGAUACGCAAUGUCAACCUCGUCUCGUACUUCGUUUAUCUUGUGCAAUGUCAUUCAAAAUCGUCAACGAUGUAUCGACAACCUUUAACCACGCCGUGUAUACGCACAUGAUCGAUUCCCAUUCGAAACCGAAUGAACCGAGUGAGAAAACCUCCGUCCAUGUACGAUGGUCGUUAUGUAAUAUCUCAUUGUUAUGUUUAUGACCAUCCGACAUUUUUACCUUGGUAUCUAAUUGUUGCGUACACAUAUAUAUCUAUAAUUCGCGUACACGCGAAUAAUGCUCUUGAGCGAAAAUAGGAAAGAAAAGACAUCGGUACGGUUGGUAAUUGAAUCAAUUAAUCGGCUAUCAAUUAUCCUUGAAUGAGACGAGAAAGAAGAAGAAGUAGAAAUUUGCCGCACAGGUGUGUUGGUUCGAUACGAAAAUUUUACAAGAAGCGUCGAUGAUGCGCUAUUAUUUAUAAAAUCAAAAUAGAUCGAAUGAUUUAUUAAAUACGCGAUUAAUUUACAAUGCAACUACGUCAAUGGACCGGUUUGACGAGAAUCGUUUUUACCGAUCGUUGAAAGGUUUUUUUUCGGUUUUUACGUUUUGCGGGGGCAAUUAUCGUUUGAAAUAACGUCCGAAUAUAAUGGAGAUGAAAAUUCCUCGAUUUUUCCUUCUUUCGUUAAUCUCUCAGAUGCGGAUUUUCAACGCGGAGGAAAAAGAUGGGAGAAGCCGGGAAAGAUCCACGGUGUAAUUAAACGCGAUUUAUGAACUUGAGCAACCGCGGGAGCAGCGCGCGAUAUUAUGCAGAUUGGACAAGCGCGAGAGAAAAUUAUCGCGAUUCUCGUGCCGCAAGAUCAACGGAGAAAAAAAAUACACUUAUCAUACCCGCAUAUACGGUGCGUAUACACGGGUGCGCGCGAUGCAAUACACGAUAUCAUAUGGGAGAACUGCAAUAAUAUGCAGUCAAGUAAUUUUUGCUAGCGAUACAAUUGAGCAAUAAAAAUCAUAAUUUUCCAUUGCAGAAACGUUGUAAAUAAUGGUAAAAUGAACGGACAAAUAAUAACAACUAACGCCCACUAAAAUAAAUUCAAAUUUACAAGAUACACGUGUAAACCGGGUGUAUUAAACUCGGUAUACGUAUGGCAUAUAGCGAGACGAUUAGCGCCAGAUCAGAUUUCGCAACUGAAACGAAUAAUCAUGACCCUCUAAAUCUAUGAGCAUACAAACUACGCUGACGAUGAUUUUUUAUUCAUAUAAAUACCCCGUAUUUAAAUGAAUUUAUAAAAUAAACAUCGUAUACCUACUCGCCAAUUUUCAACUAAGUAUACCCAAAUCCAAUAUGCGUGUACUUUUCUUUUUGGAGUCCAUGAUUGUUCACAUGGCUAAUUAACCGGUAUUCGAGGAAUUCUAUAAUAAUUAUAAUAACAAUUAUAUCGGCUGAAUCGUAUAUAGUUACUCUACUGCAACGUAAUUGGUCGUGAAAUUUUCGCAAUAUCUACUUUAUAAUUUUGACAAGCCUUUGUACUCGUUAAAACAUUACAUUAUACCCGUGCUAUGACGCCCGCGCGUUCUCAUACCUGUGCGAACUUUCAACUUUUAAUUGGACACGCUCCAGACGAAAUUAAUAAGCUCAUCUUGAGUUAACUCAAAAUUGUGUCUAACUUUUUUGUCGAUUUAUUUAUUUUUUUUUGUUUAUUUUGGUCAGAAGGGAUUUGUGACGAAAAAUAACCUACCGUCUUCACUACCAGGUGCCACACCUUCGCUUUAUUUAUAGAAAUAAAAGAACAAAUUUGACAAAAAAAAAAAAAGCCCAUACUUGUGGCGCGCCAUAACCUUGAUUAAUUUUACGUCGUCUAUGCGACUGUAAAAUUAUAUUCUCCUCGAACCUUGUCGUCCAUCGGUCUUACAAGAGCCUGUUGCCCAACAACCUGUACGUCUAAUACACACGUGUAAAUUUUUUAAAGUUAUUUUCACACCACAAUUCGAUUCACGCGUGAUCAGCUGAUUUUACAUACCUCAUCGCGUGAGUCGACUUGUAUUAUUUCUUCUGACUUUGACUUUUUCUCUUUCGUAUUUUUUAUUAUCGUAUUUUCACCCGAACAUUCUUCGAGAAACUGUUUGAAGAAUAGGGUGAAUCGGAGGGUACCGAUAUUUGGUGAAAUUUUUUAUUCUCGGUUACCCUUUUUUUUAUUUACCGAAUUCAGAAGAACGGUAUAGUCGUCAUGCGUUGUGUUAUUUGUGAAAAAUUUGAAAACGAAGAUGAAAAAAUUAGCGAAAAUUGUGAACGCAGCCUUACGACGAAAUUCAAUUCGGUAUGCGAGUUUAUAAAAUGCAUGUUUCUUCUGGAGAAACAAAAAAAAAAAAGAAAUAAUAACGAACAACUUUGGACAUCGCGUUCGUCGGCGGCACACAAUGAAUACUGUGAUUGUGACCCUGACCCAGGAGACAAACUUGGAAGGUAUGGCCACGAUUUUAUCCAUCAGCUCGUACCCACCGUCCAUCCGUCCUCAUUGUCAGUCAACCUGCCUCACAUAAAUAAUGUAGACUACGAAGGUUUUAUCCUCUACUUACCAACUCAUUUAUUUUUCUUCAUUCUCAAGUGCGGUUGAUAAAGAGUGCACACGCACGCCUGCUAACCGCCGAUCUAUUCUGCGCGAGGUUCAAAUUUUAAAUCUUCCACACAUCGUUCCGGUCACGAUUCUCUUUUUUUCGACGCUGCAGCGGCAUCGUAAUGCUGCAUUCUUUCGGUCAAGUUUAAACCAAAUUUGACACAUUGAAACCUUGAAGCGAAUGAUAUGCAUCCUGCUAUUAUUGAUCACGCAAACGUAAAUAAAAAUACGAUUACUUGUUGUUUGCUUUUUAUUUUUUAUUUCUUUUUUUUAUCCUCUCUGCCUAUCGAAUAAUAUCAAUCCAUAAAAUGAAUGGUUCCAUACCUUUAUUUGUUGAAAAAAAAAAAAAAAUUAGACUAGAAAUAAUAAUAACAUGAAAUGAAUAAAUGAGCAGUAUCCAUAUCUCGUCGGGACGGGAAUAUGAACUUUUUGCGAGGCCAGGGACAAAUUGUUUUGCGAGGUCGAACCGAAAAAGGGGGAGAAAAAGUGAAAAAAGCCGAGAAAAAAAGAAUACAAAAUUCAAAAUGGAGAAAAAAAAUUUGAACGCUAAUUAUUCGAAGGUUUUCGUUGGGGCAUCGAACCACCGCGUGAAAAAGUUAAAAAAAAAAAAAAAAAAAAAA
rnacentral:lncRNA from 1 species